rnacentral:misc_RNA from 1 species
GAUCCACGAGAGGAUCUCCGAUCUGCCCACGAAAGAUGCCGAAUCCAUCAUCCCGAUUUUCGUGGCCAUAUCUGACUUCCGAUUUUUCUGUUUUGAGUAUAGGAUUCCAAAUAUCUGCCUUCGACAGAGGGAGACAAUGGACGCUCUUUGUCUCGGGAAGACUGAACAGAGACGGAGAAACGGGGAGAAUUUAAAAAUGCGAGAAGAGCGGGCUCUUUUUCAAUUCAAAAUGGUCUGGCACGCUGGCUCCUUUGGGAGAUGGGUCAGGGCCUCAAUUGAAGGCUCGCGAGUCCAAUUCUACUACAGCCCAAAAUUUAAAUCGGCAAGUAUGAGUCCAUUCCCAUGCAGAGAUGAG